rnacentral:rRNA from 1 species
CCUACGGGUGGCAGCAGUCGAGAAUCUUUCACAAUGAGGGAAACCCUGAUGGUGCGACGCCGCGUGCAGGAAGGAAGGUCUUCGAAUGUUAAACCCCGUUCAUGUGGGAGCAAAUUAAAAAGAUAGUACCAUAAGAGGAAGACGCUGCUAAAUCUGUGACAGCAGCCGCAGUAAUACAGAGGUCUCAAGCGAUGUUCGGAAUCACUGGGCGUAAAGCGUGCGUAGGCUGUUUCGUAAAUCGUGUGUGAAAGGUGCGGGCUGCAGCCGCGGACGGCUUAUGAUACUGGGAAACUAGAGUAAUAGAGGGGGAACCGGAAUUCUAGGUGUAGCAGUGAAAUGCGUAGAUAUAGAGAGGAACACUCGUGGCGAAGGCGGGUUCCUGGACCUUAACUGACGCUGAGGCACGAAGGCCAGGGGAGCGAAAGGGAUUAGAUACCCCUGUAGUC